GUGAAUCAUCGAAUUUUUGAACGCAAAUUGCACUCCCUUCGGAGAGUAUGGCUGUUUGUGGGUCAGCAUUAAUAAAAAUCGGUGUGUUGCCUCUUUGUGACGCUCCGGAGUUUGGGUCAUCUUAAUAACCUUUAGGCUUUAAGUGGCUUAAACUUGACUUUUUUUGCGCAUUUUAGACGUACAUAAAUUUUUUUUUUACUCGUCUGUCUAAAUGCUCAAUAUCCUAUUAGAUGCGACCAUAUCGUGU
rnacentral:misc_RNA from 1 species